rnacentral:rRNA from 1 species
UACGUAGGGGGGCUAGCGUUGUCCGGAAUCAUUGGGCGUAAAGCGCGUGUAGGCGGCCCGGUAAGUCCGCUGUGAAAGUCGGGGGCUCAACCCUCGGAUGCCGGUGGAUACUGUCGGGCUCGAGUACGGAAGAGGCGAGUGGAAUUCCUGGUGUAGCGGUGAAAUGCGCAGAUAUCAGGAGGAACACCAAUUGCGAAGGCAGCUCGCUGGGACGUUACUGACGCUGAGACGCGAAAGCGUGGGGAGCAAACAGG